UACAGAGGGGGCAAGCGUUGUUCGGAAUUACUGGGCGUAAAGGGCGCGUAGGCGGCCCGCUAAGUCGAACGUGAAAUCCCCGGGCUCAACUCGGGAACUGCGUCCGAUACUGGCGGGCUUGAAUCCGGGAGAGGGAUGCGGAAUUCCAGGUGUAGCGGUGAAAUGCGUAGAUAUCUGGAGGAACACCGGUGGCGAAGGCGGCAUCCUGGACCGGCAUUGACGCUGAGGCGCGAAAGCUAGGGGAGCAAACGGG
rnacentral:rRNA from 1 species